AGAAUCAACGCUGGCGGCGUGCCUAACACAUGCAAGUCGAACGAGAAAGUGGAGCAAUCCAUGAGUAAAGUGGCGCACGGGUGAGUAACACGUGACUAACCUACCCUUGAGUGGGAAUAACCUAGGGAAACCUGGGCUAAUACCGCAUAACACCUACGGGUCAAAGGAGCAAUUCGCUUAAGGAGGGGGUCGCGGCAGAUUAGCUAGUUGGCGGGUAAUGGCCCACAAGGCAGUGAUCUGUA
rnacentral:rRNA from 1 species